rnacentral:rRNA from 1 species
UACGAAGGGGGCUAGCGUUGCUCGGAAUCACUGGGCGUAAAGGGUGCGUAGGCGGGUCUUUAAGUCAGGGGUGAAAUCCUGGAGCUCAACUCCAGAACUGCCUUUGAUACUGAGGAUCUUGAGUUCGGGAGAGGUGAGUGGAACUGCGAGUGUAGAGGUGAAAUUCGUAGAUAUUCGCAAGAACACCAGUGGCGAAGGCGGCUCACUGGCCCGAUACUGGCGCUGAGGCACGAAAGCGUGGGGAGCAAACAGGG